AUGGAAAAAAUGAUAAAAACGGCAGACGUGGUAAAUGAGGCAGACAUGGUAAAUGUGGCUAACUCGAUAAAUGAGACAGACGUGGUAAAUAAGACAGACAUGGUAAAUGUGGCAGACGUGGAAAAUGUGGCAGAUAUAGAUAAAACAGAACAAACAAAUCCAAAUGGAACCAUCACAAAUAGUCAAAUAACAAAAGACACUAAUACAUAUAACAGUGAUUUGAAUUCUAUCCAUAUCAACAAAAGAGUGAUCGAAAUUAUGUUACCUACAAUUAAAAAAAAUUAUUUUAACUAUAUUCAUAAAUUGUUUCAAAAUAAAAAAGACGAUCCCGAUAUACAAUUUUUAGAUGAUUUAAAAAAAGAAAUAAUGGAAAUAAAUUUAAAAAUAAAUAAUUAUUAUACUGUUAAAUCUGAUGGUAAAUAUGAUAACAAUUUUUUGGAUAUAAAAAAAAAAUGUAAUCCUUAUGAACAAAAAAUAAAAUUAAUUGACAAACCUCAAUGGAAUAAUAAAGAAAAUUUAAACAUCUUAUUAAAAAAACAACAAUAUUAUAAUCCUUUUACAAUUUUUGGAACAAGUAUAAAAGAAGUAAAUUUAGAAGAAAUUUUUACAUUAGAUACAUAUAAUAAUUAUGUUUCUAGUGAAGAUAGAUUUAAAAAUAAAAUAUUAUAUGAACUAUAUAUAAAAAAUUAUAUAAAUAAUUUAUAUGAACAAAUAAAACAAACUGAAUGGGAUCAUACUUUAGAAACUUUAAAAAAUCAUUGGAAAUAUUUUACAAAUUUGGAAUGUAAUAUGUACCUAGACCCAUUAUUAUUAGAAGAAAUCCUAUGGUAUAUUGAUUGUAAUAAAAUGUACAUAGAUAAAAGUAAAGAUAUGUAUAUUUAUGAAAAUUGUUUUUGCCCUACUCCCGACCCAAAUGAAACUAAAAACUUAAAUGACAUUAAACACCAUUUUACUUCUAUGUCUCAAAAAUAUACCUUCCAAAAUAAUACCAAAUUUAAAAAAUUUUCAUUAAAUGAAGAAGAAAACAGUCAAAAUAAUGAUAACGACAGUUUGCAAUAUGAUGAUAUAGACCAAAACAACUUGGAUAUAAACAUAAAAAAAAAACUAUUCAUAAAAAAAAAAUUACUUUUUAACAUACCUAAGCCAUCUAGUACUUUUUAUUAUGAUUCAGACUUUUUUGAAAAUAAGUUUAAAAAGCACAUAUUUAAAAAAAAAAAAAACAUAUUGACACAUGUGAUCAUUUAA
rnacentral:lncRNA from 1 species